rnacentral:rRNA from 1 species
AAUAUUGGACAAUGGGCGAAAGCCUGAUCCAGCCAUGCCGCGUGUGUGAAGAAGGUCUUCGGAUUGUAAAGCAAUUUAUGUUGGGAGGAAGGGAUGUAGAUUAAUACUCUGCAAUUUUGACGUUACCAACGGAAUAAGCCCCGGCUAACUUAGUCCCAGCAGCCGCGGUAAUACGAAGGGUGCAAGCGUUAAUCGGAAUUACUGGGCGUAAAGCGCGCGUAGGUGGUUCAGUAAGAUGGGUGUGAAAUCCCCGGGCUUAACCUGGGAACUGCUUUCAUAACUGCUGGGCUAGAGUACGGUAGAGGGUAGUGGAAUUUCCUGUGUAGCGGUGAAAUGCGUAGAUAUAGGAAGGAACACCAGUGGCGAAGGCGACCACCUGGGCUAAUACUGACACUGAGGUGCGAAAGCGUGGGGAGCAAAC